rnacentral:misc_RNA from 1 species
UAAUAAGUGUUUUUAUGGCACUUUUUAAAUCCAUAUCCACCUUGUGUGCAAUGUCAGUCGGUUUUCUUUUUCGUCAAGAAAAAAAGGAUCGACCAAACAUCAAACUUAUUCUAAUUGAACUUUUGUCGAAAACUAUUAUGAAUAAACUAAUAUCAAAAUA